rnacentral:sRNA from 1 species
GCGAUGAGCUGAAUUGUGUAAGUCGCUAGACACGCCUUUGGCAAUGCGCUAUGUGGAGUGCAGUCUAACGCCUCAAUACGCAAGAUGUCUCUUUUUAAGAGGCAUC